rnacentral:lncRNA from 1 species
GAUUGGAUAGUUCAAAGAGUCAUCCUGAAGUUAUCAUAUUCCCCUCUUCACAAGUCAAAAUAUUUAUAACAUUGACUCACAAUAUCUCAUUAUAACAGAUUGCCUUACCAAAAAUAGAAAAAUAUGAAAAAUAGAAACAAUGAAUAAUUUUAUCCAUCUAGCCUAGCCACACCUAUCAGCAAAUCCUAUAUGAAUCAUUGCCAUGUUAGCAUCCUAAAUUUUUUUCUCCUGUAUCAAUCUUCUUUAUUUGGUUCCUGUACAAUGUCCAUAAACUGAAAUGUCCUAAGAGCAUCACAUUGUAACAAUAGAUGCCUCGUUCAUCAUUCGAAUUUUUAAUUCUCUCUAUCUUUUCUAAUAAGAAUCUAAAAGAGAUAGGAUGAGGGAGACAGAAUAUACAUUUGAUAGUCAGUUCGAUGAAUAAAAAUCUCGAGAAAACUAUUCAAUUGAAUCAUUGGGGAAGGGGGAAGAAGAAGGUUGAUUAUAGGUUCAGAGGAGUGGUCCAUGGUUGUCUCCUUGGUAACAAAUAUUAUUUCCUGUUAUGUAACAAUCUUAUAAUAUAAAAAAAUGGGAAUUGAACUUCUUUUCAAUGAGAUCCAACAUGACUUAAAUUUCCCAUUGCACAAUGAACAAAGAACAUAAAAAAAAUUCCACUGACAGAAAAGAUUUAAACAAAAAGAAGAAAAUCCAAAGAAGUAGUACAUAUAUAGACAACCCAUAUGAGUUCCCAUGCUGUUGAAUCAACCAUGCAGCAAACCUUUAUCUACUGUCCCAUCUAGAAUUGCUUCACCACCACAUAAAAAAAAUUCUUGUAAAAACAAAUAUAGAUAUAUUAUAUACAAAAAAAGACAGUUUCAAACCUUAAAUUAAUGAAUGUAAAACACACACAGCUCAUGUUCCUCAACUUGAUCCAUGCAAAGUGUUUGAAUUUAACACUUCUCUACCAGGAACCUACAGUUUCUAUUAUGUCUUUUUGCAGUGUAACUUGUAUUUUUUUCCACACCUUGCAACCAGGGGCAGAGCUACAGUUCUGCCUACGGAUUCGACAUUAUUGAGAAAUACAAGUAAAAGCUUUUAGAUGAGAUGAUCAAACACUUCAACAGACACAACUCAAUAGCUGUAUUUGUGUUUUAAAAUUUAUUUACUACGAUUAGAUAAGAGUGUAAUCCCACCUGCAAGGUCUGCGGAGGGUUUAGUGUUUGAACACCUUACCUCAUCUCGUGGAGGUUAAAAUUUAUUUAAUAUGUAUAAAUAAUAUAUCCAUAAAUCAGUAAGCUACAUUUUCUAGAAUUCAGAACUCGUAAACUCAAAAUUCUUGUUCCGCCUCAGCUUGCAAACCUAUUAUUAGAUAUCACUUUUACCGAGAGAGAAAUACACAUGGCCUGGGUCACUAACUAUAUCCUCAAAGUUCCAUGAGAAAGCCCAUUCCUUCAUGCCCUGAUAAGCAGUCAAUUUGCAAGUGUUAACUUGAGUUGGAUGGUGGACACUACAUCUUUGUAUCUUACUGUUGCAUGUCCUACUAGAAGAGUGUGUAUCCUGUGAUUGGUGAAGUUAAAAUAUAUGAAGCUUAUAUAGGUGUCCCAUAUAAAACAUGAGAUAAUAGUGGUGGAGCACCCUUGUCCAAGGGGUGUCAAUUUGUUGAAAAAUCACAUUGUAUAGAUAGAUAAGAAAAUUCAUAUAUACUAUAUGUUGAAUCUCCUUUACUUCUUCGUGUAUUUUUACCGACUUCCCUUGGUGAAAUCACAGUCCACCAAUCAUCUUUCAUAAUCAUUGACUAAUACUUUUAACCAUUUCCAAAAGAAAUUUGAAAAAUGAAUUUACAUAUCAUAGUACUUUGAACAUGGAUUGAAACGAUGUUUCGAAAAAUAUAAAUCAUCUUUCAGACUUCACACUGGAGAUAGGUUGAAAUGACUCUUGAUAAACUACAUAUCACAUUCAGUUUGAACCAGAAGACAAACAGAACAAUAUCUUAAGCAAAGCUAAAUCAAAUGUGAUAUCAUGGAUUUACUAUCAAAAGCACAAGCAUUUGAAACUAAAUCACAUACAUGAAGAGUUGUUUUUACCAAUGGUCAACAUAGUUAAUUAUUAUAAAAGGAAUUACAAUUCUAUCAAAAAGAGUUAAUUCUGAUGUGUGUUUAAUUAGACACUAUACACGUACAUGAAGAGUUGCAAUCACCAACAUUUUUUUGAUAACCAUGGUGUACGGGUUAGCUCGCACGCACCUCGACUACUCUAUGGGAUACUUGCUACCUUCCACCAGCAUAGGUACCGGAUAACUUUGUUCACCAAAGCUUGAGUUGCAAAUGCCAAAGUUCUACCAUCAAAUUAUUCACUUUUUGGAAAGCAUUUGAUCAAUUUCUCCACUCUCGUUGUACAUGCUAACAAUUUUCUUUGCAUAUUCAGGCAUAUGUCUGUCCGCUCUGCAAUUACACAAAAAACACGUGUGAGAAAAAAUUAAUGUAAUCCAUCAUAAUGGAACAAAUAUGAAUUUCUACAGACCUUUCUUUUCCCCAUUUGCGGACUACGUUUAAGUAAUUUCUGAUUGUGUGAUAAUCUAGCGAGUAACGUGCAAAUUCUAGACCCUUCGGUCCGACCUGAACCAAGACAAACAAGUUUAAGCACAGGGAAUUUGUUGUCCUUUCUGAAAGUAACAAGUCAGUGAACAAAAAGUUCUUACUAUGUUGAGAAGAAAUGCUAUUAAAUUUCCAACAAACUUUGGAGCAGGUUGAGAAGGACCUCUUCCUGGAAAUUCAGAAAGUUUCUGCAUAAGUCUUGUGAGAUUACUGAGAAGUUGUUCAACAAAAAUAUUUACUUCAAGAACAUGUCAGAAAAGGAUUUACUUCUCGGGGUUCUGCCUUCAGCAUACUGUAAUCAACGGGGAGUAUCAUAACAAAUGAAGUAAUUGAAGCAACUUAAAUAGCUAAAUUCACUUGACUUACAAGGAUUAAAACAAAUUAAGGUUAAUCUUAAAUAAACAGUCGAUGAGAUGUGUAACAUUUCAUACUUUUUAACAGCAUUCAAAGCGAAAAGGGAUAGGGAAAAAGGUCAGAUGUUUGAUACUUGCACAUGGACCCAACAAAGAACAGUACAAAACCCGAGAGCAGAUAUCUAAUUCUGAACCAGCAGCAGUAUGUGUACAGAGAGAGCCAGCUUAGUAACAACUUAUGAAAUGAAUAAAUAUCACAAAAUACCACAUACCAAAUUUUGCUUCAUCAUCUGCCUUCACGGUUUCCACGACAAAUGGACGCCGCUUACCCUGAAAAAAGAUGCAUGCUUUGAAAUAAGUAUAUCACAAGAAAGAGUUAAAAGAAAAAGUUGUGAGAUGAAGCAUCAUGUAUUACACUACUUAUCGUCGGAGUAAUUUCCAAGAGGUUCUCGAUAAGGUUUAGCAUUUCUCUACCACGUUCAUUUCUGCAUUUGGAAUGUGCAAAAGUAUAUCUUAAACAAGAUUAUUUAAGGGUAGAGCUAUCAGCAUGUCCUUUUAAUCUGUCAACGGCUUAUAAGAUUUGGCAACACUUUACCUGACAGUAACAUACUGGGGAUGCUGCAUCAUGCUGAUUCCACUGUAUUUCGGCACACCCAUGUAUCCCACCACCAAAUCCUGACAAGUUCCUUGAAGGUAAGAUUUGAAAUGUUGGCAUAUGCACCGGGAUUAUCAAGCUUUGCUUUUAUUUAAACGAAAUAAUCUGUCACGUUAAUGUUUGGAAACUACUGUAAUAGAGAAAGACAUCGACUAAUAAAUCUUCCAAGGAGCAAAAAUACUUAAUUUUCAUGGAUAAUAAGAUAUGCAGCAUCGAAUCUUCAAUGAUACGAUUCUAGAAACCUUAAAGAGUAAACUUAUGACGGAACCAUAAUGCAUUACCAUCCAAGACCAAAAUGAGUUUGCUAAAAGAUCCCCCUUGGACCUCAACCACUGAAUCUUAUCUCCAGAUCUGUCACAAGCUUUCACUUGAAAACAGUUGGAGCAAAUGAGUGGCCAGGUCUAGCUCUAGAACCUAUAAAUUCCUCAAUGAUCGAGGCUGCCUUUGCAAAACCUCUUUCCCUGUCAGAAAACUACGCACUAGAAAAAGAUCUGUUUGUGAGACAUAAAGAGAGAAGAGAUCUAUUCAAGAUUAACGAUUUGAUGACUAUAAUACAGACCUAUUUAUAAGUUCCAAACAUAGUAGACAAAUAGACAUUUGCAAAUGCAGGAAAUUACACCAGUAAAAUUUAAUAUUCCACCAGUAACACAUCACCUUUCAGAAUCUAAGACUAAUCAAAGUAGCAUUUAAGAGUAUGCUUUCCUUUGCUAUUUGAAAGUCUAACACAUGUGUAUGUACUGUGCACAUGCUUCUCUUGGAUGUUUAUUUUGUCUGUUUCUUUGUGAAAAUUGUAUUGUGCAAUAUAUCAGGGCCUUUAAUUAUGAACAAAGAACUCACCGCCAAGCCAUUUGUGUAGUCAAAACAGCUGUAAUAGAAGGAAAUAACAGUUUACAGAUCAGCACAAGUUCAUAUUCUGAAGAAUGAGAGACAGGAAUGAAAUAUAUGAUAAAUGCGAAUGUAGGAAACGUGAAGCUUGUAUAGAAUGUUCAUUUAGACUUCUCCAACUGCAUAGCAUCUUUACAUUUGUAGACAAGCUGAAAUCCAUGUUGACAUUGUCUAAAAGAAUGUGUUAUUAGUUUGAUUGAUUUCUUUGUUGCCUAAACUGACACGGCAGGGAAUGCUACCAUAUGCAAUAAACCCAACGACAAGUAUAGUUUUACAUGGCUUAUCCAACUUGAUUUAACCCAAUUGUCCAUAUCAGAGCGACAACUUACAAGUGAGAACCAGAGAUCACAUAGAACGUAAUAAGCCCAUGACACUACCUUCGUGCACAUACUAACAUACUUAUGUAUACUUCUCCCUAGUUUAUGCUCCACAAGUGAAGGAAUUUCUCAAUACGAAUGUAACUGAAAAAUAAAUAUAUUAACUAUUAGGAAGAAAGACGGUUCCUGAAGAUUUUGUUUGUCAUCAAAUUUGUUAAUCUACAUAAUCUUUGUCUGCACACCAAAUUUUCUUCCACAGAUUUUCACCCUUACUCCAUGAACAAAGUAUCUAGAAUAGUUUGACCAAGAACGGAUAUUACGAGCAUUAUUGAGAUCAUUGUUUCUUUUGAUUCAUAAGUGGGUCCAAAAAUGAGAUGGGAAGUUACAUUUCUAUGAACUUCAUAAGAAAAAUAGUUGGCAUGCAAUAAUUUUUCGAGUAAUUAACACAUUUUUUUAAAAAAGAAUAUCCAGUAGAUCGUCUAAGUAGCUCACUUAGAGAAUGUCGCCUACGACGGUUUGACUACAUCCCACAUAAACUUCCAUAUCCAUAUAGGUGAUACCAACUAGAUAGGAUGCAGUCAUUGAAGCAUAGUUGUUGCUACGCUUGCAUAAGUGCUUGUCAAGGGUCUUUUUAUUCUUGUUGAAAACUAGUAUAUCCACGUAGGGAUAAGGGUGAUAUUUCACAUCUUUAGUUUGCUACGGUUCCCUGCGGUCCAAACCCGGUGCCGCUUUAGGUUAGGGAGCUGGACGAUACCUUAUAACACGAAUUAUUAGAUAUUGGAAAAAAAUUGACCUAACAGAGCACAAUGGAUGCUGAGGAUACAUAAAGCCACCCAAACUAAUGUAGGAUUAAUUUAUAGUUGAUUGACUAAUUGGAUCAACUCAUAGAGGGAAAGAAAGAAUCAUUUCCAUGAGCACAAAGAGAUGGAACAAAAAAAUUAUAUUCAGACUUGUCCACCACCGACCUCUGACCCAAAAAGUCUACAGGUUAAGUAUGCAGAUAUUGUUUAAAGGCUUCAGUAAAUCAAUAAUAAGCAAUUGAAAUACCUGUAACAAGAUGGUGCAAUAACAUCAACCAAGUCAUUUGCUGGUAAACAGAAAUAGGGAACCUGCUUAGUGAAAUAUAGAUCUGAAUAAACAGCAUUCAAAUAAAACAAAAGAUACGAAAAAGAAGAUGCUAUUUUACCUCUUCAAUAUGGCCAUCCAAAUGCUUCAGAUGGACCUGUUGAAAUGUAGAGCUUAGACAGAUGCUUCAACUGAUUAGAAAACUAUCACAUGCAAUUCAAUAGUAUAUCCUUUAAAUCAUAGUAAAAGAAGAAAGCUAUAAUAUGGUUUACAGGAUUAACUGUCAAAUGUUUUCAUCUAUAAGGUGAUGAAGCACAUGUGAGCUUAAUUUAGUCUUUCUCAUUUGCAAGAUCCUACUUAUUGGUAAAUUUCUGAUCCAACAAAGGAUAGUAACCCUCCAUCAAAUUCAACACGACACCAGCGGACGAGGCAUGGUACUUGAGAUAUUAAUUUGAUUUGUGUAUUUUAUAGGUAGUAGUUGAGGAAAAUUUUAAAAUAUUUUUGUAAACGAAAUUAGGUUGACAUAGAAAUGCCAAAUCAAACCUUAAUAAUUUGACUAUUCAAACAUAUUAAAAUUUGAGAAACUGAUGAAGUUGUAUAAAGUUAUAUUGUUAGUAAGAUGGUGUCAAAGAUUUUUGUACGCCCAAAAUAAAGAUGUGUCAUAUAAAAUUUAUCAGGAUGGAGACAAUAUGAUAUAUUGAAGUGCAUCUUCAUGAGUGAACUUACCUCACCAACCAAAUGAAAACAUAUUCUAGAAAAGCACCCUAGUUAUCAGACUAAGAAAGGCUGUUUACUGAUGUUUUAGAAUACAACAGAAGCAGAAAACAUAUCGUCAUGACAAACACAGAAUGUAGAAGUUGGUUUCCUUGUUCUUAUACUUGAAUGGAUAGAAUUCCAAGAUCACAGAGGUUAUGCAUAAGUUGUCUCACAAUGAAGCUCAGCUUGUCAUAAAAGAGUAACAGGAGCUUACUUUUUUUUCUUUAUGGAAGAAAUAUAACAGUAGCACACCUUGUAGUCUUGCAUAAACUCAUAGUGGAGAACUGUUUCAGGUUCACUGCUAGCAGCCUUCAGAAAUUUAUCUAAACCUUCUCGUGGUCCAUUAUCCACUGUUGAGAAAUGACAGUUAGUAUAGGUCUAUAUUGACUAAAAAUAUCUAAGAGGGGAAAGGAGAUUCUAAUAAAAAGCAGUUUAUAGAGCAUCCCUCUUACUAUAUACUCCCUCCAUUUCAAUUAAUUGUCUUAUUCCUUUUCAGUCCGUUUCGAAAAAAAUAUUUCUUUCCCUUUCCUGAAACUCUAUAAUUCCAACUUUCCACAUAGCCUGUUUGAAACCACGAGUUAAGAGGUAUUUUGGUACAUUCUACAUAUUUAUAGUUUAAGAGUUAAGACCACGAAAUUCAAAAAGUUUUCUUUACUUUCUUAAACUUUGUGACAAGUAAAAACCACACAAACAAGUUGAAACAGAGGGAGUAUCAUAAAAGAUUCCAUUGAAUCUUUGUCCAGUUUGUCCACUUACUAUAUGUCUUAUUUUCUCUCCCUGCUUCUGUGGUGGACAAACUGAAAAAAUUAAGUUGACUCUUUUUUGAGAUACUAACAACAAACAAGUACUCCUACUGGUGAUGUUAAUAGAUCAAACUUUUUGUUAUUUAAUUUAAAAAAAGAUCAAAAUUAGAUCUCCAAACACACGUAAUUACAAACAUAAUCAAAUUUCAAGCAGUUGGUAGUUAUAUUAGAAUUGAUCAAAGAUGUAGGAAAGGAGUCUAUGAAUACCACCGACUACUCACCACAGUUAGUGCCUAGAACAUAAAGUUUUUCCAGAUUCAAAUAUUGCUCCACUGAUCUUAAAGCUGCAAGUUAGGAAAUUGUUCUGCUUAAAAUACAGAGAUGUAAAUUGUAAUGACAACAUCAAGUUUGAAGCAGAGAUGAAGAGAUCAUAACAACUUGGAUACCUUGAACUUGGCAGCCAACCCCGCAGAAGAGAAGGCGCUUUACACCAGCUGCCUGUUUCCAGGAAACAAUACUGCUUACUUCAACAUUUGAACUACAAGUUAUACUAUACACUUGUGUGACAAUCCUCAGUGAAAACUGGAAUCUCUUAAAGCCCAGUUUUUAAUGCAUUAGAGCAUGCACGACUAGAAAGUGUGAAAUUCCAUGAUUGCAUUGUUAUGAAAAGAAAUAACAAGAAGCCUACCCUUACAAGUGUGAUAUGCAGAUGGUUGAUGCUUACCAAAAGAAAGGGAGAAAGCAUUUGGGGAGAAAUAAGCUCAAAUAGUUAAAAUAAAGUCAAAAAAUAACCUACGACCUUCAAAUGGAUAGAGAGGAAAAAUUUGGCAAAAAGACUCUGAAAUUGUCAGGAAAGGAAUUCAGCUCGAACCAUAAUAUGGAACAAAUCAGAAAAUCAAAAGAGCUUAUCUUAAUAAAAUCCCCGAUUGGGGCAAUUACAGUAUUAGAUUGUGGUGGUCUGACGGGGGGAGGGGGGGUGAUAGUAAAGCUAAUUUGGUGGUGUGGUGAAGAAUAAGAAAGCAUAGCUACACAAGUUCCAAUUACCUAUUGAGGAGAGAUAUGGCAUCUUCAAUCCAUGACAACAUGCUCCAUUAAGAAUUCAAUAGAGUUACACAGAUUAUAAAUGCAUUGAUGACAACAGAACAAUCAAAGAUUCUGAUGAUAAUGGAAGUGAAAGAAGAAACCUCAACUAAGGCAAGAGUAUUUAGAUUAGGAGACAGUGUCGGCUUAACACCUUUAGCUGCUAUAACUUCCUCUGGAGUCCUAUUAGAAACAUAAAAUUAAAGUUGAAGAUCGAAAUGGUUAAAUUAACAGGUAAAAAAUCAACAUGAAUACAAAUAGCUCAGGAAUUCCCAGUCACAAACCUUGCCAGGACAGGUCGAGGAGCAAAUCGAUCUUCUGGAUCACUAAACAACAUAAAAAAAAGAAGGUAAAGAGUCCAUGAAUUGCUGGGUAAUAAGUAGAAGAAAGAAACCAAAAUUUCAAGUGCAUAACUCAUGUACAGUGAAAUUAACCAGGAGGGAGAACUAAAUUAUUUUUAACCAAAUUGGAUGCAAGCCAUACCUCUGAACACAAAUAACAGCUUCCACCAUCCCAGCUUUUAGCAUCUCCACGGCAAUAGUUGUCACUAUCCCCGUCCAUUGAGCUCCUGAAUGCCAGAAAGAAAAAGAUAGGAAUAUGACCAGAUGAUUCAUAGAAAUUGGCACAUUCUUUUAGUGAUCUAGAGAGCACAAGAAAACAAGCAACAGUAAAUUGAACUAGAAUACUACAUAAGAGCAUCCAAAGUUGUACCUUCCACAGGCUUAGUUUUACGAGCAUACAAUAGAUUCUCAUACACCCCCAUAUAAAUCUCAUCCAAGGAAUCUUCUUUCCGUCCUCGUCCAUGGACAAUAGGUUCCAAAGCCUAAAGAAGAUGAUAAGGAACAGUCAACAUCAUCUGGUCACUUUACCAUAAGAAAUACUAUCUGUACUUUGAGCUACUUCAUAUAAAUUUGACCAAAAGAGAAGGUCCUAAUAGCAUAGCAUGACUGAGUUGAGAACGCAUUCCAAGGAACUGCUACUCGUAGCAAGCACUGAAGUUUUUUAGUGAGUAAUCAAAUCAUUCUUUCUCAUAAAAGAACUUACAUGCACCCCCUGUCACCCUCCACCCACCAGUCAAACUAAAGACGGAAUAAUUUUCAAACUUUACCAAGUUCCUUUGGACAAUAACCAAAAAAAAAAAAAAAUUGUAUAGAAUUGGGGAAAAAAGUUUGACCUGUCACGAGAUUACGUUGUACCUGUAAACUAUGCUAAGCUGUAUGAAAUUAUUAAACAGAAGGUAGAAAAAACAAAGAAAAGAGAAAAGAGAAGAGGACAGAUGUACACCAUAGCGAAGACUUUGAUGGAGGUCUAUGAAUGUUUUCCCAUCGCCCUAUGAGGAGUCUGAUUAGAGUCCGACCAUACUGUGUUUCAGUAUAACAUUAUCAACCCCAUAAAUUUCAGUAUGUCGAGAUUAUGUUAACAACUAGAGAAAUCAUUCUUAUGAAGAUCCACUAUACGUGUCUUGUACCUUGUGUAAUUUAUAGCUCUAUAAUAAUGCCUAAAACUUCAUUUAUUCCAUAUCUUGUCAACAUUCAAAGCAGCAUACCUUUUACCCAAGAGAGUGAAACAGAAAUAUAAAAUUCAAACAUGCUUGUCAAAAGAACUAGUUGGGGUCGGAGGCGAGGACCAGUGAACCCAUCAAGUUCUAGUAUGCAACUUUUCCUAAUAACAAAGUGUUAAAAACUCUCAUGCUCCCAACAGAAGGGAUUUUAAUGGAAGUGGAGUGACCAAAGAAAGAUGAAUUCAAUUGCACACGAGCUAAUAGUGGAUUACACGGUCUCAGAGAACAUGAACCAGUACUCUCUCUGAGCAUCUUUCUAGCUUGCAAACUUUUCUUAUGACUUCCACAACACACUGCAAUAUCACAGCCAAGUCUUGUUUCACUGCAUACACUGUACAUAUUCAUAAGAUGUAAAUCCAUAUGGAUGAGAUAGCUUUUCAAAGGACACAAAAGACAAAACAAAAUUCACAGGGAAAAUCUGCAUGUGACAAUGAAAGCAUGCAAUAAUCAAACUCCAGUAGGUCAUUUAUGACAAACUUAAGGAACAAAAACUAGGCAUAAACAAUAAGAACUGCAACUAAAAGCAACAGUAUCUACAUGUACUAAAGUAGAGAAAGACUCACUUCAACUCUAGACAUGCCAUCCCCAAGAAAGCACAUGCAUUAUUCACAUGAGCAAUGUAGUAAGUGUCACACAAACCACAGUGGCUGCAAACCAGAAACAAAAACUACCAUCAGACAAAAAACUACUAUAAUGAUUACGAAAUAGUCACAAAAUAUACAAGAAAUUAAUUUAAAUAAGUAUGAAGAUGAGUGAUUAAAUGAUACUAACUUAUAAUCCUCAAAAACAUUGAAUUAGUAUAUAAAUAAUGUUAAUUAUUAUUUACCAAUUUCAAAAAAAAUGCUAAUUAAUAUAUAUGAUAUUCUUGUGAACGUCAAAACUUAUAUUUCAGUCUUCCAAACAAUACUUCAUCAUUCAAGCUCCUUUUUUUUCCAUUCUACAAAAUUUGACCCAACUUAGGACGAAUUGAUAUGGAAAGCUACGAUGCUUCAAAGACCCAAUGAAAUGCUUCCUCCAUUUCAAAUUGAAUACUUCAGGUUCUUUUUUAUACUUCAUGCCAAAUUAAUGCCCAAUCUCCCUCAUAUUUAUAGUUCUUUCACAUUUACUAUGAAAAUUGAACCAUUAUAGUUUCCGAAAAGGGAGAACUCUUCAAACACAUAUUAGUUUAAGACACUCUCUCCGUCCGGUAUUGUUUGUCAUGGUGUCUAUUCAUAGAGUCAAACUAUAAAAACUUUGACUAACAUUUUAAGGUGUAUUUUUUCAUCGUAUUAAUAUGCAAAAAAUUGCAAUUUAUAGUACUUUUCAUAUAGUUUUAAAAUAUCUAAUUAUUUUGUUUAAAAUAUCGAAUUAAUGUGAUUUAAUUUAACUUUGAAAAUUAGUCAAAUUGACUUUCAAAAAACACAACAUGACAAACAAUAUUGGACGGAGAGGGAGUGAUUCAUAAAUAGACACCUUAACUUUGCUUAACUAACAACUAAAUACUCCAACUUUAAGAAUGCACAUCUAGACGGUCUCCGAGACACCCGGCACUAUAUGUCUAGAUGAUCAUUUUGUACGUUGGGAGUGUUUAACUCACACAGCCAAGACCAGUUAAGAUGCACACUUUGAGUGUUCAGUUGCCAAUUGAGCCCAACCUAAGAUAUCUAUCUAUGUAUUUAUGUCAUAGUUUAAAGAUAACAAAUAAAAAUAACAACUUUUUCACUAGUCUAACUUACAAAAACUAAAAACUUCAAAAAAAAAAUACAUAGAAAAAUGAUCAAGCUACGCAAUUUACCUCCCAUUACAGCAUUAAAAGCUAAAAUUUCAAUUAUAUUAAGAAAAAAAAAAGCAGAAUUAUGAACCUGCAGUGGUCUUUAGCUGGAUAAGUCCCACCAGGAGGAAUAGGUCGAGAUUUUUUCCUCCAAUCUUCUCUAAUUUUCACUGAUUUCAGGUUUUGGUUUGCAUCUGUUGAGUAAUUCAAACAACAUCAACACACAAAGUUUCAAUUUUUUUUAAAAAAAAAACUCAUAGCAAAAGUUUGUCAUUUUUUGUAAAAAAAAGUUCCUCUAAGAGGAUUUUGUUCAGUGAAUGUAGAAAUGGAGAGAAACAAAACCUUGUUGUUGUGAAGAAGAUGAAACAGUGUAAAAUUUGAAGGGUAAAGUAGAGAUUUUUCCAGUAAGAAACGCCAUUGUUGCUCUGUGUAUCUGCACAAGUGUUUUGCGCCACAAAUAUAUAUCAAAUGAGAUUCUUUUAAGGGUGGAACCAAAACGGUGUCGUCCGGUAUUUAAUUAAUUUCUACUUUUUAUUUUUUUGGAUGAGUAAAAAAAGUGAAAUAUUAAAUAUUUAGAAAAUUAAGAAAUAAUUUUAAUUAUUUAUAAACAAUGAAUCGCUGAAAGUGAUUCGAACGAAUCCUUUUGGUCCUACCUAGCUUUGCUCCUGAAUAAGUACUCGAUAACAUAUUGUGUUGAAAUUUUGAUGAGAUAAACAACACAUACCAUAUCAUUUCACUGAAGUAAAAUCAUAUAGUCGUUCAUAUGAAUACUCAAAAUAGGGUGGCUUUUAAUUUUUGUUCGUCGGAUCAAUAGUCUUUGAAAAUACAAUCGUAAGGCAUAUGUUAUGUCAUACAAAACUUAUGCCUCUGUAGACAUAAGUUCAAUUUCAAAACAUUAUACCUUAAAAAGUUCAUAAAGUCACAAAUUAUAUCUUAUAAGGUAUAGACGUAAGUCCUACAUAACAUGUCGAUGGGAGUAUAAGUUCCAUUUUCAAAACUUGGAAGAUUAAACCUAGAGAAGUUCAUUACUCGCUAUAUCUUAUAAAUCAUAAGUCCCGUUUACAAAACCAGCAAAAUUGAGAAGUUCAUGAGUCACUAUAUCGGAAAAAAAGUGGUGGUUUAAUUGGAGCAGCCCAUCAGGCAUUAAUGGAACUUGGAAGGCACCGAUAACGAUAUAAAUCAUAAGUCCCGUUUACAAAACCAGCAAAAUUGAGAAGUUCAUGAGUCACUAUAUCGGAAAAAAAGUGGUGGUUUAAUUGGAGCAGCCCAUCAGGCAUUAAUGGAACUUGGAAGGCACCGGUCCGUUAUCCUUCCACUGCACAAAGCGGAAGUUUUUCGUUGCUCUGUGAAACCAGCCUCACGCGGUCCACCCCACUUUAGGAAUCUAGUAGCCCAUUCUUUCAAUUGGACCACAUGAUCCAACUCUGUGCUUGGAUAGGGCAGGCCAGAAAUUAGCCCACCAAGCCCAGCCAUCUGGGACAGCCCAAUAUUCCACCACCUUAACAUCCCCACUUGGGUUACAAGCCCACGUUACUAAGCUCGACAUACAA